GGCUCAGGACGAACGCUGGCGGCGUGCCUAAUACAUUCAAGUCGAGCGAGUCUGCCUUGAAGAUCGGAGUGCUUGCACUCUGUGAAACAAGAUACAGGCUAGCGGCGGACGGGUGAGUAACACGUGGGUAACCUGCCCAAGAGAUCGGGAUAACACCUGGAAACAGAUGCUAAUACCGGAUAACAACAGAUGAUGCCUAUCAACUGUUUAAAAGAUGGUUCUGCUAUCACUCUUGGAUGGACCUGCGGUGCAUUAGCUAGUUGGUAGGGUAACGGCCUACCAAGGCGAUGAUGCAUAGCCGAGUUGAGAGACUGAUCGGCCACAUUGGGACUGAGACACGGCCCAAACUCCUACGGGAGGCAGCAGUAGGGAAUCUUCCACAAUGGACGCAAGUCUGAUGGAGCAACGCCGCGUGAGUGAAGAAGGGUUUCGGCUCGUAAAGCUCUGUUGUUGGUGAAGAAGGACAGGGGUAGUAACUGACCUUUGUUUGACGGUAAUCAAUUAGAAAGUCACGGCUAACUACGUGCCAGCAGCCGCGGUAAUACGUAGGUGGCAAGCGUUGUCCGGAUUUAUUGGGCGUAAAGCGAGUGCAGGCGGCUCGAUAAGUCUGAUGUGAAAGCCUUCGGCUCAACCGGAGAAUUGCAUCAGAAACUGUCGAGCUUGAGUACAGAAGAGGAGAGUGGAACUCCAUGUGUAGCGGUGAAAUGCGUAGAUAUAUGGAA
rnacentral:rRNA from 1 species